GAUGAAGAACGUAGCGAAAUGCGAUAAGUAAUGUGAAUUGCAGAGUUCAGUGAAUCAUCGAAUCUUUAAACGCACAUUGCGCCCGCCAGUAUUCUGGCGGGCAUGCCUGUUCGAGCGUCAUUUCAACCAUCAAGCCCCAGGCUUGUGUUGGGGACCUGCGGCUGCCGCAGGCCCUGAAAACCAGUGGCGGGCUCGCUAGUCACACCGAGCGUAGUAGCAUACACAUCGCUCAGGGCGUGCUGCGGGUUCCGGCCGUUAAACCCCUUUUUUACCCAAGGUUGACCUCGGAUCAGGUAGGAAGACCCGCUGAACUUAAGCAUAUCAAUAAGCGGAGGA
rnacentral:misc_RNA from 1 species